GGGGAUAUAGCUCAGUGGUAGAGCAUUUGCCUAGUAUGCAAGUGGCCCUGGGUUCAAUCCUCAGUACUACAA
rnacentral:tRNA from 1 species